rnacentral:misc_RNA from 1 species
AGACCUUUUUUCCCUUUUCAUCUAUUAUAGAUACGUUUCACCGCUGCACUUUGUCCAUAUCUUUUAUUAUUGUUAUCUGUUAUAGCUUAAACACGUCACAUUAAUUACAUUAUAAGCAUUUCACUGUGAUUGGGAUGAGACCGGCUUUGGCUGUCGCCUCGUCGCUGUAUCCUCGGUAGGUUUCUUACUUUAUGUUCAUCUUUUUUCAUAUUUAUCUAGAGAAGAUAAACGACGAUAAAAUUUCAACCCAAAAACAAGACAUAUUCUUAUUAGGAAAUAUAUCAAGAGGUACACCUAAAGCUAGGCUUCAUGAGUUUUAAAGUAAUUAGAAUUAAAUU